GCCGUUAGCUGUCAAAGCAGAACGAGUACCCGGAUAUAUAACGUUUAAAAUUGACGUCGAAGUUCAACAUUGGAUAACAGAAAGUUAAAGCAGGAGCGAGAGGAUGCUUUUCGCCAACAGAGAGCACAAGCAGAUGUGCCUUUCUUCCUCACAGUCUUCCCCAUGCAGUUCAGCAAAUGAACCUCUUCACCUCAGUCGUCACAGCUGUAGUAAAGAUAUAUCCAAGGGUUUGUGCAGCUGUUGAGACUGGCGAGCAGCAUGAUAAUUGAAAAUAUGGGACCUGCAAGAUAAAAAAGAGGAAACGUGAUGAAAGACUGAUGUCACACUCACAACCUGGGCGUCUUUAUGCACUUGCU